UGGGGAAUAUUGCACAAUGGGCGAAAGCCUGAUGCAGCAACGCCGCGUGAGCGAUGAAAGCCUUCGGGUCGUAAAGCUCUGUCCUAUGGGAAGAUAAUGACGGUACCAUAGGAGGAAGCCCCGGCUAACUACGUGCC
rnacentral:rRNA from 1 species